UGAUCUUCUUCUUCUUCAUCUUCUUCUUCCCUCUUGCUGGUUCGGUUGCUGUGUGGCCAUGGCAGCGGCGGCGCCGUACGCGCGGGUGAUGGAGGACAUGGUGAAGGGGCGGGAGUACGCGACGCAGCUGCAGGCGCUGCUCCGGGACUCGCCGGAAGCCGGCCGCCUCCUGGACCGGAUCCUCCACGCCAUGUCCCGCACCAUCGACACGGCCAAGGCCGCCGCCGCCGAGGAGGAGGAGGCGUCCGAGGUGCAGAGCGACGUCACCUGCGCCGGCACUGCCGGCAGUAGCAAGCGGAAGGCCGCUGGUGGAGGGGACAAGAGGGCCUCCUGUCGGAAGAGGUGAGCCACAGGCCUUCGCCGCCGAGUCCUCUUCUCUUGAUCUAAAAAUAGUUUUUUUUUUCUUUUUUCGCGAUCGGGCCAAGCACGUACAGUAUGAUCUAAAAAAAUAGUUUGCUGAUUUUGUGCAAACCACUGCCGGAUGUGUGUUGUAGAGGCCAGCAAGGAUCAUCGGUUGUGACGAAGAACAUCAAGGAUUUGGAGGAUGGGCACUCAUGGCGAAAGUACGGACAGAAGGAGAUACAAAACUCAAAGUACCCAAAGUACGUUUCUACACCUAUUAGAUCAAUCAUUGUUAAUCAAAUCAAAUAUGGCAACCAACCCAACCUAUGCAUAUGAGAUGAUGAUCCUUUUCUUGGCACGAAUUUCUGAUUCCUUUUCAUUUAUUUGGUCGAUGAUCGAUGAUGCUCGGCGUGCGCAGGGCCUACUUCCGGUGCACGCACAAGUACGACCAGCAGUGCGUGGCGCAGCGGCAGGUGCAGCGCCGCGACGACGACCCGGACACCUACACCGUCACCUACAUCGGCAUGCACACCUGCCGUGACCCGGCCACCGCCGUCGCGUCGCUCGUCGUGCACGCGGCCGGCGUCACCGGCGACGACCUCCACCACCACGCGGGGUCCCGCCUCAUCAGCUUCGCCGCCGCCAACAACAACGCCAGCGCGGCGACGACCAGCACCACCACCACCGGGAACACCACCAACCAACAACUGGCGGUCCUGCAGCCCCUGAAGCUGGAGUGCGGCGGCGGCGGCGAGCAGGAGGAGGUGCUGAGCAGCCUCACCCCGGCGGGGAGCUCGGCGGCCGCGGAGGCGAUGCGGAACGGGAACGCCGCGGCGGCGGCGGCGACGACGACAGGGCCGGAGCCGGACCAGGGGGACGUGACGUCUGGCCUGCAGCUGCAGCAGUUCUACGGCGCCGGCGAUGACCUUGCGUACAUGGCGCGCUUCAGCUACGAUGACACGUUCGAUCUCGAGGACAUUGUUGUGUUCGGAGCUCCGGAUUCGAUCACGGACAUUUAUGCUGAUGAGUAGACCAAGGAAUCGGAAGAAGAUGGUGG
rnacentral:lncRNA from 1 species